rnacentral:tRNA from 1 species
GGGUUUUAGCUCAGUGGUGCAGCGCCUGCCUGGCAAGCACGAGGUUCUGAGUUCAACUCACAGUAUCCA